AUUCCAGCUCUAAUAGCGUAUAUUAAUGUUGUUGCAGUUAAAAAGCUCGUAGUUGGAUUUUGGAGUUUGACAAGUGGUCUGCCUAAGGUGUGUACUGCUUGUCGGCUCUUCUUUUCUGGGGACCACGCUGCUCUUUAUUGAGGGGUGCUGGGAAUCAGAUCUUUUACUUUGAAAAAAUUAGAGUGUUCAGAGCAGGCCCACGCAUUGAAUACAUUAGCAUGGAAUAAUGGAAUAGGACUUUGGUCUUAUUUUGUUGGUUUCUAAGGCCGAGGUAAUGAUUAAUAGGGAUAGUUGGGGGCGUUUAUAUUCCAUUGUCAGAGGUGAAAUUCUUGGAUUUAUGGAAGAUAAACUACUGCGAAAGCAUUCGCCAAGGAUGUUUUCAUUA
rnacentral:rRNA from 1 species